AUAAAAUUUGCUGUCUAAAUUGGGAUACUUCCUAGAAUAAAGGGGACACUACUACUGAUUAUGCCAGGAAAAUGGCGUAAACUAAAACUGUCCUGGGCAAACUGUGAUGAAAGUUACCCUACCUAUUUGCCAGCAAACAGUAACCCCUUGGUAACAUAAUCACAAUAGCUGAACAAUCUGAACAUUUAAAAUCUGUAAGAUUAUGCAUUGAUUGAAGCUUCUUUUCACUUUAUGUCUUAAGAGUCUCCAGGGCCAGGCACGGUGGCUCACUCACGCCUAUAAUCCCAGCAAUUUGCGAGGCCAAGACAGGUGGAUCACGAGGUAAAGAGAUCAAGACCAUCCUGGCCAACAUGGCGAAACCCUGUCUCUACUAAAAAUACAAAAAUCAGCUGCACAUGGUGGCGCACACCUGUAGUCUCAGGAACUCGGGAGGCUGAGGCAGGAGAAUCACUUGAACCCGGGAGGCAGGGGUUGCAGUGAGCCAAGAUUAAACCACUGCACUCCAGCCUGGUGACAGAGUGAGACUCCAUCUCAAAAAAAAAAAAAAAAAAACUUCAGAAGCCUGACAUCUUUAUGCCUUGUACAAUUCCCUUAAAUGUCCUCAACUACCUUGCAAUUACCCAAAACUACCCCUUCCUAAUACGACAUGUCUGUGCAUUUUCCCGAGACCACUGCAAAAUCCCCCAGAGAUCCCUACGGUGAUUUGAAGGGAUUAGAUCAGUGGUUCUCAAGUGGGGGCUAUGUUGUUCCCCAAGGGACUUCUGGCAACAUCUGAAGACAUUUUUGAUUGUCAUGACUGGGUGGUGCUGUUAGCAUUUAGUGAACAGAGGCCAGGGAUGAUGAUAAACAUCAUACAAUAUGCAGGACAGGCCCUGACUACAAACAUUAUCUGUCCCAAAGUGUCACUGGUGUCAAGGUUAAGAAACCCUGGAUUAGAUCGAGGAUAAGACUUUUGCUCUGUCUAUUGUCGGGCAAACUGCUCUGCUUCCUUUGAGUUCUGACAACUGUUCUGGCAAGCUGUCUUCCACAGCUGCCAAGGGUUACAGCUAAAUCCUAUUGGCCCAAAUCGUGAUCUAGGAAGGAGCCCCCACAGUGGUGGAAGAGAUGGCACAGAUGUCAGUCUUCACGAGGAAAGUAAUAGAACUUUCUCAAUUUCAUGGGAGAAGACAAGAUUGACAGACUGCAUGACUUUUCCCUUCUCCAACGUCACUAGAAAAGAAAGUGACAGCAAACAUAUCAAGCAGGUUGAAGCUUCAGCUCUCAUUAGCUCUCAGGGGCCCUGAACUUUCACAGAUGUGUUUGCACAUCUGCCCUGGAAGCCACAGCAGCCCAGGAAAAUACCCCAUGCCAAAUGGGCUGUCCCUCAGAGAUUUCAGAUCUGCCCCAACACAGCUGCCUGAGUGUAGGAAGUCAUUUUCAUCACCGUUGAUGGGCUACUUUCUCCAUGGGAAGUAGCAACUGGGCUGGAACUACCACAGGAAGAUACCUUCCCACACAGACACCUUUUAGAGAAUGGAGACUCCUGAAGGUAAUGGGAGACCUCGGACAGAAAACAAGGGGACUGAUUCAGGACCAAGGACAGAACAUGAGGUGUAGCAGACUCAAAUCCAGGCCAGAAACAUCUCCUGUGAAAUUAGUUUCCUUGGGCUAUUGUUGCAAAGUACCACCAACUGGGUGGCUUAAAACAAGAUAAAUUUGUCUCACAUUCCUAGAGUGGACAAAGCUGAAAUCAAGGUAUCAGUAGGGCCACGCUCCCUCUGAAGGCACUAGGGGAGGGUCUGUUCCAGACCUCUCUCCUAGCUUCUGGUGGCAUGCAGCCUACCUCCAGCCUUCACAUGGCGUCUGCCCCAGCCUAACUCCAGCCUUCGUGUGGCUUCUGGCCCAGCCUAACUCUGGCCUUCGCGCGGGAUCUGCUCCAGCCUAACUCCGGCCUUCAUGCGGCGUCCGCCCCACACAUGUGUGCAUCUCUUCACAUGGCAUUCUUUUUACAAGGACACCAGUCGUAUUGAAAUAGGGGCCUACCCUGCUCCAGUAUGAGCGCUUCUUAACUGAUGAUAUCUACAACAAUCCUAUUUCCAUGUAAGGUCACCUUCUGAGGUACUGGGGGUUAGGGUUUCAAAGUAUGAAUUUGGAAGAAGAUCACAAUUCAGCCCAUAUACAACUUCUAAGUUACUACUAUUCUUAUAAGAAAUGCCAAGGUUCUCAUCCAGGCCUAAGGAAGUGGUUUCACAAGGAGGCAACAUCCCAAGCAGCUGUGUGAGCCAGACCUGGCCUCUGAUUCCUAGUGUAAGAUGACCAUCAUUCAGACUAUAAAAGUACAGCACACUAUUUAUCUGAAGUUCACACUUGAAUCCAUCUUCAUUCUCUGAAACACAGUCAUGAACCUAGAGGGUAACCCAGCAUGAAAUGACUGACCUGCGUUCUCAGACAGGGGAACCGGAAGCCAUAAGGAAGAACAACCAGACAAUGCGAAAGAAUUUCAGGCUCCUGCAGGAGAUGGGGUCUCCAGGAAGGCAGGGUGGUGUGCCAGAAAAGCAUCAGAUCAGGAAUCAAGAAACCUGGGUUUUAUUCCUGACUUCACUAUGGGCAAGUUAUAUGACUUGGGGUGCCUCCCCGGGGCCUAGAACUGUGCCUGGCACACAUACAAGGUGUUGAAUGAAUCAACGUGAGGGGGCCUAAUAAGUCCUUGUUUUCUAAUGGUGCAUGUGAAGACCCCUUAUGGUGGAGAAGCGGGAAGGGAGGGAAGCAGACUCUCAACACCAAGCAUCCUCUUCCAUUCUGCUCCCUGCCUAUUCACAUCAACUUUACGUAAUCAGACUUCCAAGAAACCCUCAAAUGCAGGGCACGGAGGGGCCCCAGGAGACAGGCUAGCAACACAUCCUGGGGUCACAUGAUACAGCUCUGAAAUGGUCCCUCAUUCCCAACAUGUGAGGCCACCUUUCUCACAGAUGCACAGGCCUCCCUCAUGAGCAAUAAGCCUCACCUGCAGCCCACCAUAUGUCUUCCUAAACUCGAGGUUCACCACUCGAUUCACAUUCACCACAGCCCCUGAAUGAGGCUGCUCCAAAAUCUCCAAAGAUAAAACAGGCAUCUGGAUUUGGAGCCUCUCCAGCAUGAGGCUGGGACUGCCUUCCCUCUCACCAUUGUUCAGGGGACUUCUCCAUCAUCCAGGGGAACUAAGACAGGUGCAUGGAGUCAGAGCUAUGCCUGUGCACACAGAUGCACACCCCACCCGACCACCUCCACCGGGAGGGAGGCUGAUGGCUCCCAGGAGACACCGCAGUAGGAGCCAUCUUCAUUUGCAAGAUUUCACACGUUCCCUAAUUAUUUCAAGAGGACUUGCAGAUGGAGGUAAUGGGCCCCCUUUUAAGAUGACUUGCCACACAUAUAAUGUCAGGGCUCUCGCAUUCAUCAGCGCCAUCCUCCCAGCCCCCGUCCUCCACCUCCAUCACCAAAAACCCAAAUAAUUUCAAAAACAUUUUUAUCCUAAAAUGUUCCCCUCAAUUUAAAAAAAAAAUUAUCUUCAAGAGAAGAGAUUUCUUUCCAUUUCAAUCCCACAACAAGGAGAAUGUCAGCCCAGCUUUUUUUUGACAGACAAAUUAUUGAAUCAAAGAGAAAAUGCCAUUAAGCUCACAGGUUAGCAAGUGUCAGGAAUGGUUUAAAGAGAUAUCCCCAUUUAUCUUCCAAACAUGCACGAAAUGUCACUAAUGUGUGUUUAUCAUGUAUAAUCAGACAAAGAAAAUAUCGAAAUAAAGUACUCCCGCAUACAAUAGAAAUCUCCUUCCAUCCUUCAAGAUAUCAGUGCUAUUCAAAUAGAAUAAUAAUGAUGAAGCCUCUCUCUUGAAAAUGGAAAUCAAGUGAAAUGUAGAUAGAAAUGAAUUUUUUUUGGUAGUUGAUGUACAUUUCUAAAGUGCAUUAACAGGAAAUCCAGAACUUUUUAGGUCAAUUAUAUUGUCAGUAUUGUCAACGCCACUGAAAUGAAUACUGAAGCAGCGCCUGUUCUUGCUGGAAUCAAGCUACAGAAGAAACUCCUAGAUUGGGGACUUACAGAGGAACUAGAGGCACAUUGGAAGCCUGACAUUGUUCAAGCAUGCAUAUAUAUGUAUAUCUAUUUUUUUCAUUCAAAUCAAUCUGGGUACCAGGCAUUUUGACUUACUAUAAACUUCAAUAGACAGGGGAAAAAAAUUCUGCAACUGAUCUAAAACCUGGCUUUAUUUUCCUCCCUUUUCUUCCUCCAUUAUGACAAAGCUUAUUUUUGUAAGCCAGGUGCUGUGACAACAAUAAAUCUCAGCCUCCAAAUUAGUGCUUUGGACAAGAGUUCUCUACUACUAAUUCUGGACUUGCCAGACCCAGGGACAUGAGCCACGCACUGGAAAGAAGGUAGUCCUUGUGCCAAAAUUGUCAGGCCCCUUCCUGGAAGUCUAGAGAGAAUUAGGCAUUUCAACUGAAAACAUUUUCAUCCUUACUGCUUUCUCUCCCAACAGUCCCACCAGCUGUGUGACAUGCUAUUUCCCGGCUUUCUGGGUUGUGAGUUUCCUGAGAGCAGAAGUCAUACCUGUUUUUAGUCUCCAUAGCAAGAGCAACAUGUAGUAUAAUGACUUUCAAAUAGCAUGUGCUCAAGAUGUUGGUGAGUGAGCAAGUGAAUGGAUGGUUGAAAAAGGAGCUCUUCCUCAGAGGUCUCUCCCAGCCCCACAGUUCCCUGGUUCUGUGAUGUUCUAUAGCUUUGGGGAGGGAACAGCCAAGGUCCUAGACGUCCCCAUGCCUGCUCUGCAAUACAUUAUUAACUCAAGAGAGCUUCUGCUCUCCCAAACUAACCAUAUUGAACUCCCAAAUUACACCACAAGUGUUUUGCCAUUCCAAGUACAAUGUAAGGCAAGGGUCCUAAGAAAGUAGAGGACAAUGUCAAGAGAGUAAUCUCUAAUGUCUGCCUGCCUCAUGGUCCCACCACCCGGCUAUGUGGCCUUGGGCCCUGGAUCGUCACCUGAGAAAUGGGACAACAGUAACCCUAACCCCACGAAGACGUGUGCUUUAAUAAGCUAAUAUGUGUAAAGUUCUUACAACAGUACAUGGUGCAUAAUAAGGCUCAAUACAUG
rnacentral:lncRNA from 10 species